rnacentral:rRNA from 1 species
UCGGCGAUCACAGUUGCAAAUGUUUACGCUCCCAUGAUCCAAUCCCUGAAGCUGGAUUUCCUUGAUGAAAUUACACAAAUUGCUCCCCCUAACUCCGAGCCAUGGCUCAUUGUGGGGGAUUUCAACCUUAUCCGCUACCCUCACGAGAAAAACAACAAUAAUUUUCAUGCCCAAGAGGCAGCUGCUUUCAACGACGCAAUCAACAGCCUGGCCCUCAUCAAGCUGCCCUUACUAGAUCGCCGUUUUACGUGGUCAAAUAACCGCGAGAACCCUGUACUAGAAUGA